rnacentral:rRNA from 1 species
UACGUAGGGUGCGAGCGUUAAUCGGAUUUACUGGGCGUAAAGCGAGCGCAGGCGGCCCGUUAAGACAGGUGUGAAAUCCCUGGGCUCAACCUAGGAAUUGCGCUUGUGACUGGCGGGCUCGAGUACGGUAGAGGGGGGUGGAAUUCCUGGUGUAGCAGUGAAAUGCGUAGAGAUCAGGAGGAACACCGAUGGCGAAGGCAGCCCCCUGGGCCUGUACUGACGCUCAUGCACGAAAGCGUGGGGAGCAAACAGG